rnacentral:rRNA from 1 species
AUUGAACGCUGGCGGCAGGCUUAACACAUGCAAGUCGAGCGGGGAAGGGUAGCUUGCUACCUAACCUAGCGGCGGACGGGUGAGUAAUGCUUAGGAAUCUGCCAUUUAGUGGGGGACAACAUUCCGAAAGGAAUGCUAAUACCGCAUACGUCCCACGGGAGAAAGCAGGGUAUCUUCGGAGCUUGCGAUAAAUGAUGAGCCUCAGUCGGAUUAGCUAGUUGGUGGGGUAAAGGCCUACCAAGGCGAGUAUCUGUAUCGGGUCGGAGAGGAUGCGCCGCCACACUGGGACUGAGACACGGCCCAGACUCCUACGGGAGGCAGCAGUGGGGAAUAUUGGACAAUGGGCGGAAGCCUGAUCCAGCCAUGCCGCGUGUGUGAAGAAGGCCUUAUGGUUGUAAAGCACUUUAAGCGAGGAGGAGGCUACUUAGAUUAAUACUCUAGGAUAGUGGACGUUACUCGCAGAAUAAGCACCGGCUAACUCUGUGCCAGCAGCCGCAGUAAGAC